AGUUUGGCUAUUCGAAGGCACAUUUGAUCUUCUACGUAGAUAUUUGUGUUCAAAUAAUAGCCUAAAGCAAUAUUCUACUUUGACGGUCGCUGGUGAGCCAUUUAAAUGCUCAUACAGCACUACCCAGUGAGAAGACAUCACU